GACGAACGCUGGCGGCGUGCUUAACACAUGCAAGUCGAACGGAAAGGCCCUGCUUUUGUGGGGUGCUCGAGUGGCGAACGGGGGAGUAACACGUGAGUAACCUGCCCUUGACUUUGGGAUAACUUCAGGAAACUGGGGCUAAUACCGGAUAGGAGCUCCUGCUGCAUGGUGGGGGUUGGAAAGUUUCGGCGGUUGGGGAUGGACUCGCGGCUUAUCAGCUUGUUGGUGGGGUAGUGGCUUACCAGGGCUUUGACGGGUAGCCGGCCUGAGAGGGUGACCGGCCACAUUAGGACUGAGAUACGGCCCAGACUCCUACGGGAGGCAGCAGUGGGGAAUAUUGCACAAUGGGCGGAAGCCUGAUGCAGCAACGCCGCGUGCGGGAUGACGGCCUUCGGGUUGUAAACCGCUUUCGCCUGUGACGAAGCGUGAGUGACGGUAAUGGGUAAAGAAGCACCGGCUAACUACGUG
rnacentral:rRNA from 1 species